UACGUAGGGGGCAAGCGUUGUCCGGAAUCAUUGGGCGUAAAGAGCGCGUAGGCGGCCAGAUAAGUCCGGUGUGAAAGUCAAAGGCUCAACCUUUGAAUGCCGCUGGAAACUGUCUGGCUAGAGUCCGGGAGGGGCGAGUGGAAUUCCUGGUGUAGCGGUGAAAUGCGCAGAUAUCAGGAGGAACACCAAUGGCGAAGGCAGCUCGCUGGGACGGUACUGACGCUGAGUGAGCCGAAAGCCAGGGGAGCAAACGGGG
rnacentral:rRNA from 1 species